CUUCAUAAAGCAAAUUGUAUCAACGUAUGUCGUCAGCAGUGCAGUCUGCAAAUAAAACUGCACAUCCGCCUCAACAUCUUGUGCCGUGCCGGCACAGGCAAACGUCCAGAGCUGUUUCUAACACAGGGGAGCCAAGCCAGAGCUCCAAGGGGUGCCAAGGUGCCAAGGGGUGCCACCCCAGAGCCAAGCCAGGGGUGAAAGGAGAGAUGAAUGAGACGCAUUACAUCAGGAAGAUUCUGCUGUUUCUCUUAAGCAUGAGCUGAGUUGCACAAUAACUAGGAAGAAGCUGCCAACUAAACCUAUAAACUUAAUCUUCCAUUCUCCUUUCUUGCCAGCUGGUGUUACAUUGCCGAGAGACCAGAGCAACGUCGAAAUCUUAAGAUGAGCCACCUGUCGUGAGCUCUGGAAAGCUCUGGUGGGCUACUGAUAGUUCAUGAUUUGGGUGGAGAUGUUUCUCUCCAAGCUGUUAUGUGAUGUGUGGGAUGGCUCAUGCAUCACCUUCCUGCAAAUGGGUCUUCCAGGGAAAGGCUGCAAAGAAAACAGCAGAGAAAAUGAAUGUAAGCAGUCACCUCUCAGAAGCUGUGGUGAGAUGACUUGGGGUGUCCCAGCGUGAAGUCCUCAGUACAGGGUAGAUGCGGACCUGUUGGAGCACAUCCAGAGGAGAGCUACAAAACUGAUCCAAGGGAUGGAACACCUCCCCUCUGAGGACGGGCUGAGAGAGCUGGGGCUAUUCAGCCUGGUGAAGAGAAGGCUCUGGGGAGACUUUAGACAGGCCUUUCAGUAGGGCUAUAUGAAGGAAGGGGACAGACUCUUUAGCAGGGCAUGUGGUGAUAAGACAAAGGGAAAUGGCUUCAAACUAAAAGAAGGGAGAUUUCAAUUGGAUAUAAGGAAGAAAUUUUUUACCGUAAGAAUAAUAAGGCACUGGAAGAGAUGCUGAGAGAUGUGAUGGAUGCUCACUCCCUGGGACAUUCAAGAUCAGGCUGCACAGGGCUCUGGACAACCUGAUCUGUCUGUGGCGUCUCUGUUCAUUGCAGGGGAGUUGGACUAGAUGGCCUUUAAAGGUCUCUUCCAAUUCAAAGGAUUCUAUGACCUUGUUGGCUGUGAAUUUCAGUGGCUUUUGAAUUCAACUCUGGAAAGUGACAAAGGUAGAGAAAUCACACUCACUGGUAGUGACCUUUCAGCCUUCACAUGCUUUUGUUGGAGUGCCAGUGUGACUUAGCCCAGUUACUGCUGUAAUAUGAUUGAAAUUGCUGGCUUUUAAAUGCAAAGAAAGAGUUUACACAGCCAUUAUUAAAAUACAGUGUUUCUGCUAUGACAUGUGAAACAGAACAGCAUAAAUAGAUAUUGCCACAUGCUGCAAACAUAGAAGGUGGGAGCUUUCUGUGACGGCCCUCCAUCCGUCCCGGCCGUGCUGCAGAGGCUUUCAUGCCCUGGGUGAAGGACAAGAAUAUCCUAUGGCAUCCUGCUGGACAUGAUUCACUGGGUUAUCUGUGAUUUCACCAGACAUCAGGCAUUAUUUGAGCUCAGACUUUCUCUUUUUUGCAAUUCUUGAAGGUUAUGGCACUAAGUCUAUUUUCAGCAGUUUGUACAGUGCUUUGUUUUAAUGAGGCUUAACAUGAAACGUCAUGCUGACUGCAGCCUGCAUUUCAUAGAAUCAUAGAAUGGCCUGGGUUGAAAAGGACCACAAUGAUCAUCGAGUUUCAACCCCCUGCUAUGUGCAGGGUUGCCAACCACCAGACCAGGCUGCCCAGAGCCACAUCCAGCCUGGCCUUGAAUGCCUCCAGGGAUGAGGCAUCCACAACCUCCUUGGGCAACCUGUUCCAGUGUUCCAUUUCAUGAGGACAGCACACUAAACUUCUGUCCUUUUUAGACUGAAAACAAAGAGGACAUAUGUUAAAUGUGAUUGAUACAAAACAGUGUGUAUACAUGUGGAAAACAGGGAGAAAAUAAAGUGGAUAAAUAAAAACAGAAGACUGCUGUCAGGACAAGAAUUACAGCUACAGCUUGUCUCCAGAAUCAGCAUCUCAGGACUUUGUUGAGGAAUACAGUCAGAAGGACCACAGCAGUUGGGGUUGUUGUUGUUGGAUUUGAAAUACAAGACUCAUCAGUGUAUUCAUUUCUCAUUGCACUGUUAUAUACUUAGUGGUUAGUAAAGCAUUUACCUCUGCUUUGAAUGUCAGGAUACAACCGCUGUGUUACUGGAAAUAUAUGUGAAGUACUUGGCAAAAUGGAUAGAACUUAAGGGUCUGCAGAUGUUUGCUUUAGGGAAGCACAUCUGAAAUGUAGUAAAUGCCCAGGAAUCUCAGCAGAUCACCCUGCAACAGUAGUGCUGAGCACAAUGUAAUGACGGGGCUUCUGAAGAGGUGCCAGGGGGAGUGUCUGCAGUUUGGGGUGGUGGCAAGGAAUGGAGUGGGUUAGGGUGGCGAGUGUACAUGAAGACACAGUUGAUGUUUUAACGAGGAAAAUACACCAUCGAAAGUGUGUUUGGAUAUUUCAUACCAUUACAUAAGGGUGCAAGAAGAGGAGUGGAAGGCAGUGGGGAGAGGUGAGAUGGGGCAGAAGGACUUCUCCUGGGCAGCUAUGCCCUUCUCCUGGGCAGCUGGGACCUACAUGCUAUGCUGGACAGGCUCUCAAAGAACACGAGGCAUCCCAUCAGAGAUGUGGGUUACGAAAGAAAAUGUGGUACAAAACAUCUUUUUGGCUCGAGUUUAACAUUAUGAACAAGAUUAUUCCUUUACUGUUUUACUGUUCAUCACCCAGACCUCCUCAAGUGUAUCCAACUUUCACCAGCUGGAGAAGCAGGGCUGAAGGACACACUCUUUCUUUUAAGUGACCUCCUCAAUACUGGAUGAAGGAUUUCACCACAGUUCUGCUGGUAGACUGUCCUGUCCUGACUGAUACAAACAAUGUAAUUGUGGCUGGCCUGCAGGAUCAUUAUGCCUAAAAUUCAAAACAUGUCCUGGUUGUGCUCUCCUCCUUUUGUUAUAACAUUUUCCACGUGGCGUAACUCCAACCUGUUGUCCCCCACCCAAUAUGUUGUACAUCCAGCCAUUGUACUUUCUGUCAGAUCAGUGUUCUUUGGCACAGGAUCAGCCUUCUGAUGCCUGAUGUGAGCAGGCCUUUGCUACCCUGUGGGGUCCCAAACACUGCCCAUCUCCAGAGCACAAGUUGCUGUGCCCCGACUGCUACUCAGGUCAGGUCCUUUGGACUUGAGGCACACGCUGUGCUCUGGCUCAGUCUCUUAUGGGAACACUGGGGACACAGUGGUGCAGCCGUGCUGCAGAGCAGACCUGCCAUGAGUGAGCCAGACAGCAGCAGAGAACUUUUCCUGCACCCUCUGGACACAGCCUACUGAACGUGUGAAUGUAUUUCAGUAAGGGGUCUGCUUGCUGUAGACAGGUCUCAACGCAGAAGCCAAGUAAACAAACAUGUAACAAAUGAUUUGUCUUCAAAUAAGAACGUAAAGGAUUGUCCUUUCAGAAUUUUCGUCUAUAACCUGCAGACCUAAAAUGACUUUUCUUUCACCUUCAGAUAUGUGCGUAUGAUUUAAAGUCCUUGCAAGAAAUAGGAGCUGCUGAUCUGCAUCCCAGUACUGUUUUGAAGCUAUACCCUGCCACAGCAUUUUCUGCACUGCUCAUGAAAAGUAAUUUGUCAGGAAAUAUAUGGUCUUAUAUUGUUUAUUUUCACCUUUGGCACAGGACUUGGAAGUAAAAAUAAUUAUUCUCCAGACAGUUUAAUUAACUUAGUUCCUCUGCAGUUGUCUAUGUAUAGGUUUCAGAAUUCUUUAGAGAAUAAAAGAAAAUGUGUUGACAGCUCCU
rnacentral:lncRNA from 1 species